UUAAUUUUGAUUUUGUAAAUCACACUCAGAGUACUCGAAUGGUAGAUACAGAGGUUUCGGUCCCCCGGCGGGCGCCUGGUUCCGGGGCACACCCCCUGAGGAGGUGCGCCCGGGGCGUGUCCGCCGAAGCAACAGUGGUAUUGGUUCACAGUGGGUUUGGGAGUUUUGCAACUCGGUAAUGAUCCCUCCGCUGGUUCACCAACGGAGA
rnacentral:misc_RNA from 1 species